UGGAGUUGAGUUAGCCGCUACGAUCUCAGAGAGGUUAAAAGAUAAAGGGAUAGUUCAAGCAAUCAAUGUUGAGGAUGCUAAUUGUCCAACUGUGACACCUGGAAAUAGAGAAGCUGCAUUAAAGCUCUUUGUAGGCAAACAACUAUUCUCUGUUCUAUCAGAUUCAUGGCUUUCAAGAUAUGAGCAUGAAUGAAUGGCCAUCUGAAAAAGAAAGAGGAGGAUAGUAUGCAUUCUGAUGGGCAGAUGUCUGAAAUGCAGAAAACCAGUUAUUCUUGUCCAUGGUAAGUGUGGUAUUUUCUCCGUGCCACACUUGAAAGAAGCAAAAGGGAUGAUGAAAAUAUUUAUGUCUUACAUCUUCUGGUGAUGACCCUUUUCAACCAGAUAUAUGAUCUAUUUAAUAUUAUAACUGACACUGGAAUAUAUGCAACUAGAAAGGCAAAAUCUAUGACAUUUUCUACCACUGUAUCUGUUGGCUGGCAGGGUUGAAUUGUUUUGUUAGUUUCUUUUAUAUUUAUUCCACCAAUAAUGUGAUCACAUUAUCAAGUAAAAAAUAUCCUUGUUGUAUAAUGAAAACAUCACGAGAGAUGUG